AAGAGCUGAUUUCAUUAUUCCAAGGAGGGGAAUAUGAUUGGAAGGCCUUUCAAAAAAGCUUUGGUUAUGAUGAGAAAGGCUACACAGCAAACCAUCGCGUGGUCAAGAUGUUUUGGUCAGUGUUCCAUGGUGAUCUCACUGAGGAUGACAAAAGAGACUUUCUGAGAGUCAUGACGGGUGCUGACCAUGUCCCGAUUGGUGGAAUCCAGGAGGUUAGACCUAGGAUGUGGCCCAUGGGAGGAGACAAAGAUUGUAAGGGGAAACCCCCAAAGGACAUGUGCCCUGAAGUGAAUACAUGUCAUGGUUUCAUCGUGCUUCAUCUCCCGAUGUACAGGAAAAGAGAGCAUCUCAAAGAACGACUCAUGAAGCUAAUAGAGAUGAAAGGGCACGGAUUUCAUAAAAUACCAGACUAAACCUUUGACUAGCUGUCGUAGAGAGUUCAACAGUCCCGUAUCCGGACAUUGACAUAUUAAAAAUCUAGUAUCUAAUAUCGAUGUCAAAGAAAAAUAAUUAAAAACCGAUUAAUGAAUUGUAAUGUUGGGUCAAUGAAUAAAGAAAAAGUCAUUAAAUUGUAUGCAAUCGUAUCUGUCAUACGCGGGGGCACUGAAUUCGGUGACACCGACAAACUGACCUUUUUUGGGGCCAUUGAAAAUAAUGUAAUUGCAAAUUUUUAUUGAUCUGUAGUUGUUUUGGUAUUGGUCUUGUUUGUGUGACUGAGCUGCGACAACAUACGAUAUAAAGAAAGAAUGGAAUAUAAAAAAUUUAAAAAAGCAUGUUAUCUUCUGCAUCGUACAUAAAGAACAUGAUCCACCUCUAUAACAGUUGUAUAUAGUUUUGUACAUAAUUCGACUUUCUAUUAUUUAGUACAUUCAGUUGAUUUUUGUUUUCAAAAUGGUGUAUAUUGUGUAGUUUUAUGCAUUUUGAAUCAUGACAUUCAAAUAACUAUCCAUUCAAGUAGUCUGAGAUUGAGGAUAUGGUAGUUAUUUAAAUAUUAAGUUUUGUUGUUAGUUUCCUCAAUCAUUGCUGAGUGCGCUUGGCUAUCUCAAUAUAAACAUGUAACGAAGGCAACAAAAAGGCGACUAUGAGGAUGAUGAGGAUAAAAAAAGAUAAAGACAAAGUUAGACACGUUCUGGUUGCCCUAUUAUACAAGAUGCUCAUCUGUGGGAAUAGUUAUAUUUCUAGUACUUUGGCACAGCAGAACACACUGGCAUAAUACAUGUAUUGAAUACAAUCAGCUAGUUCAUGAAAUUGAGGUAAGCAACAAGCAGAUGUUAACCAGAAAACAAACAGACUAUAUUAUUGCAAGGAAAAGGCGCUAUAUCAAAUAUCUUUUGGAUUGGAUUUUCCCAGUAGAUCUGGUUAUUAGAUGGUAUAGCGAAGGAUUUGAUUAAAUUUGAUGUAAUAACAAAUUGCUCAGACGGUGUCAAACAUGUCUUGGCUAGUGAAUGGUUAUGCAAUAUGUAAAAUAUAACUAAUUUUGAUGAUUGCGAAUAAAAUCAUAGAUUUUAAGACAGAUUGUAUUGCAGCAAUACGUCGAUUUGCACAUGUAUAUUUAAGAUUGCCAGAUGUGCACUGAAAGCUUUAAUUUUUUCUCUGCGUCGUACAGAGUACUACACUAAACAAUUAUGAAAUGAUGGCGUACUGUUUAUUGUUGUAUAUUCUUGCAGUUAUGCAUUAAUGCAUCGUUAAACUAGUAAUCAAUAUGAAAAUAUCUUUAAAUAAUUAUUUAUUUAUCACCUUGAUUUUUCUCUACAAUGCGCUAUGGAGUGUUCUGUCAGUCUAUGAUUAUUAUUAUUGUAUAAAUAUAAUUAUGAUUGAAUGGAAAAAUCAACAGGAUUUUUCAUUUUGGGAUAAGAAAUCAUCAUUACUUUUUAUGUGGUUAUUGGGGAAAAUUAUUUUAAAAAUUGGAAUGCCUCAUGGUCAACUGAAUUUGAUUUGUGUAGAAGCUGGUAGGUUUUAAACAUACAGGUUUACUAAGUAUAAUUGUCCUGUCUUUGUUAACGUUUUCCAAGAACUUUUUUUUUAUUUGUAAUCAUGAUGAAUAUAAAUUUGAUUUAAUUGUGUUGGCCGAAAUAUUGGGAGAGGAAAACGUUCCGGAAAAUACUCUUGCGUUUUGGGGGAAUCCAGCCUUCUUUCUCGAGGCUGAAAAUGGAAAGUGUGAUUCUAGAUCUUUACAUCUUUUACCACGAGAAAUGAGAGUUUUCAUGAAAUUUUAUUUCUUCUCAAAUGGGAAUGUGAACAUUGUGUUCCCUUUCUCCUCGAUCCACAAGUUGAUAACAAACAAAAAAAGAUCUGCAAACUUUACAUUGCAGUUGAAAUGAUCAUUCUUAAAAUGAAGUGUGCAAUAUACCUAAUGGAGAUUGUAAACGAUUUUUCACUGUCAUAAAGAGGGA